GGGAAGGGCUGGCAUUAGAUGAGGGGCCUGGAGCAUGGGGCACCUCCUGACACCCCCUCAUGGAUCUGGGGACUUGGAUCUGGCUCUGGGGGGCCCCCCGGGGCGGGGCAGAGGUCUUGGUGUGGAGCCCCCUUCUCCCUAUCCCGGGCCCAGCCCCCACCAGUGUGGGUGGAUGGAACAUAAAGGCCCGUCUGGUGUGGCCUGAGGGCUGCAGCUGCUGAGAGAAGCGUCCUGUCCACCUUCAGGCAGAGAGGGGGCCGGAUCCCGACAACUGUGUCUGCCAGGCCUCUGCCGAGCUAGGGGCCUCCAGACACGAAGGGCUUCCUACUUGCCUCUCUCCUCUCCUCCAGAGCACAACUAAGGAAACGGCUUGCUAGGAGAGUAAAAACUCUCUCUUCUAACAUUUGCUUUUAUUAAUGCUUCUUUUUAUUAAACUUUCUUACCAGUGUUCUUUGUGUUCCUUUUAUCGUCCCGUGCCUCACCCAGAAAGCCGCAGGGUUUGGUUUUGCCCGUGACUCUCGUGGGUAGGGGAACCCUGCUUUUGAACAAGGCCUGCCUCUCCAGUCCCCUCUGGCAGACAGGACAGGAUGGUGGUUAAGCACCCAGACUCCGGAGCCAGAGUGGGGCAGGAUCCUGGCGAUACGCUGCAGGUCUCUGCAGAAAUGUCACCUCCUCGGGGGCAGCUUUCCUGACUGCUCGGAGACAAAGCCUCCGACCCAGUCUGUCCCACGCCCGACCAUGGCUUUAUUAUUCUUCUGAAUGGUCUCCUGACCUGUGAAACAACACACCUCGGCAGUGCUCACUCAUGACGAAGGCUCGUUGUGCUCUCUCAUGGCUUCAUUUGAAGCCCGUGGCCUACACUAUCUCAUCACGAUGCCAACAAGGUAGGGCUGUAGUUAUCCCCAUUUUAGAGAUGCAAGAAAGUGUAGCACAGAGAGGUGAAGCGAGUUGCCUUAAGGUCACACAGCUAAGGGGACACUCUGUAAAAGACAGAGGACCGUAGGUGAGACUACUGGGGGUGCCUCUCUCAGUCCACUCGAGAGGGUAGGGAGCUGUCCUCACCCUACAAGCCCCAGGCCCGACCAAAUAAGGCAAAGACUGCCAACACAGGUAUCUCAAGAGAGAGGGGUUCUGGGAGGGGAUGGGCAGCCAGCUCAGCUUCCAGCUCCCUCCUCCAGGUUGCCUUCCUGGCUUGACUGUGCCUGGCUCAACUUUCCCAAGAUUCAGUGUGGACCUCCACGUGGAGACCAGGCCAACAAACGAUGGACUCCCGCAUGCUGUUGGCCUCAUGUCCCCUCGGGAGGUGUGGAGUGUCCUGACACCUCUCCUCUAUGAGUCAGGAGAGCCAGGCUACACUCAGACUCUCAUUCCGUGACUCGGAUGCCUUCCCUCCCUGGACCUCAGUUUCCUUAUCUGGCAAAGGGGGUGAUAACCCUGCCCCUGAUACUGGAAAUAAAGGACUGGGAGGCUGAGCAAUGUCGGACAAAGGGGAAGGACUGUUACUAUGGUUACUAUUGAACCAGAAACUUCUGGGGGGGGGGCUGGGUGAGGGGUUCUAACCCUGGAUCUUUGGACCCACAAGUUUUAGGGGGCCCUCCAGCCACAAGGCGAUACUAAUACCCUCCCCAUCUACCCACACUGAUGCCAGGGCUUAAAGGGGCCAAGUCACCUGUCCAGAGGCACACCGGGCUUCCACUCUGGCCUCUGCAGAUGAGCUUGCACGGAGUCACGUGCAAAAGGACGCAUUUGUUUCUGAAGAGGAAAGGUCUUCUGGGCCCCAGCUCCCCUUGAAGUGGCCCAUCUUCCUGAAGCUGGCAGUGCAGUGGGGUGGGGAGGAAGUGAGGCUCUCGCCUAGCACGAGGGUAUUUCCUUUGUGGGAAGGAGCUUUGCUGUGUCAGUCAUCUCUGCAGGGGCAGGGAUCGCUAAGGCCUGGAGCCCGGUUGAGGAGAGAGGGUGUCACUGGGCCACAGUGGUCCCCAAAUAUUCUGGACCUACCAGAGCAGGUGGUUCCCAGCUCCAGCCAGGACGUCGGUCAGGGGAGGGGCGCAGGCAGCAUGAGAAGGGGAAGCUGCCAGAAGAGGAACCCGUGUAUUGCUACUGGGGCCCGCCCACCUGUGCUUCCUCCCCAGGCAGGAGGAGCUGGGCCGGGGCAGCCCCAGCCUGGAGCUGAGGCCACAUUCUGACUGGCCCUUGGCUUCAGCUCUUCAAGUCUCCAGGGCUCCUCGCCCCUAGACACCCCUCUUGUCCCCGAUUCCCUGUCUCACAACUCCUUUGCCCCCAACUUUUCCUAUUGUUGCCAUCUCAGGCUGGGAAGGGGACCACAGCCCCCCACCUCCCCGGGCAACCCUCAUUCCAUUCUGUGACACCCUCACCCCGGGGCCCACCCCAAGGCCCGCACAGCCCCAUCUCUAGUUGGUGUCUUAACAGCCCACCUUGUCCCCACCUCCCUUCUGUCCAGGAAACUUCAGACCACACCACAGCUUCCUGCCUCUGACAGUGUCAGGGCGGGGUGGGGGGUGGGGGCAGGGGAGCCCGCCUCCCCCUCACCUGUCAGCACUAAGAGCUCCACCUCCCCUCAACCACCCUCAAGCCACUGUGUCUGUAUCUGCUUCCGCAGGAUGGAGACGCACAGCCAGACUGGCCUCCCACGUGACUCCCACAGACUGGCCUCCCCUGUGGCCAAGGUCCUGAGUGUGGAGAAAUUCAGCCUCUCAGGGGCCACCCUGAGCCCACAGUUCUGGCUGAUCAACCAGUGGUUGGUCAGAAAGAUGCUACUCUGCACUCCCCUCCACCGCCCCACCAUAGGGUUUAGCUCAUCAGGUUCCAGAACCUUCUACAAUAACUUUUACUAGACUCAUCUCCAGUAUAGUCAUUCCCUUCACCCCCUUAGUCUCUAUCUUUCUCUAGUAGGUCACCUGGCCACCCUUUUCUGCUGUUUAUUUUUGAUAUCCAUCUACCCCACAGGUAGAGAGGAUCUCACUGCCUUUAUUACACAGGACCUUCUCCAAGGGUGUCUCUGAAUCCAGAUUUAUUCUUUCUAUUUUUUUUUUCCAAUGCUUAUAAAUUUUUGAGAGAGAGAGAAAGAGCACGAGCAGUGGAGGGGCAGAGAGAGAGGGAGACACAGAAUCUGAAGCAGGCUCCAAGCUCUAAGCUGUCAGCACAAGAGCCAGAUUCGGGGCUCGCUUAACCAACUGAUCCACCCAGGCGCUCCUCAGAUUUAUUCUUCAUUCAUUCCAUAAGCGCCGUGCUGGGCACUUGGUGUGUAGAAGAGGAAUGACCCAGUCUCUCCUUCAUGUUCCUCGCAACAGGGCUUCCUGGGUCACGGUAGGGCACCCUUGAAGAAACACCCAUGUUUCUUUCUCCCUGAGUGUUCCUCCUUGGGCCGUCCUGCUGACUCUGAAGCCAUUCUACUCCCCCGGGACUCCACUGAAAGACUGUUUUAGCCCUGAUUACAGAGGAGGAACCUGAGGUCCAGGUGUCCCCGAUGACACACAGCCGAGGAGCCAGUGUCAACAAAGCCCAGGUCUGAUUCCAAAGCAUGUGGCAGGAAGAUCGUUGUUGCCCUGGUGGCCGCCCUGGUGCCUCUGAUGGCUGGGCCUGAAGCUCCGCCAUCCCUCCCGCAGCACCUGUUAGCGCAAAUCCUUCCUUACACCAAGCAGAAACUUCCAGAACCUCCACACCACAAUCUGUCCUGACAUGUUCUUUGAACAUCCUUCUCUGGGCAAGGCCACGAUGACCAGAAGUGGUCCCUGUGUUGGGUCUGAUGGGGGAGGCUUCCACGAACAGUGAACCCCAGGGGCCCUGAGGGCAGAGGAAGGAGGAGUGACCACUCCCCUCUGACUCUCCCUGCUGCACCAGCACCCCACCCACAAAGUGGGGCUAAUGGACCUGCCCCUCCCUGGGUCCCCAACAGGAAGCAUGUGAAACUAAAAGUGUUCCAGCCACACCAUGAUUUUUACUGCUCCUAGAGCUAUGUCCCUGGGAAUUCCUCAACAACUUUUGGCUUUCUCAGUUCACAGGGCUGGAAGCACAGCCCUGCCCUGGGGGUAGCCCUUCGGGGUCCUCAUCCAACAAGAUGGGGCUCCUUAGAAGCCGCUACGGGCGGGAGCCACCAUACAGUAAAGGCUGAUGAAGUCAGGAACGGAGGAGGGGUCUGGGGGCCAGACAGUCCCUUUUCUGAUUCUCUCCAGGGUGGCAUGAGAGAUCCAUUGACAGGCUUGGGGUGGGGCAUGUCUGGGUUUGGGCUCCGUCCUGUCCCGGGCCAGGGGAGACUUCCCCUUACACAUACAAGGCUUGGCUGGCAGGGAAAAGGGCACCUGAUGACAUGGUUCCACGCAGAUCACUAAACACUGAGUCACAGAGGUUGGGUGAGGUUCUAUCCGGGGAUCCUGACCUUUGUCCCCCAGUGUUGGCUGAGCCCAGAGGGGGACUGAGGGCAGGAUGCAAGCUCCUUGGGGGCAGACCCCGCACCCCCUCCCUGCAGCUCCCAACAACAGGGACUCUAAUAUCUGACUCGAUUCGCAUAAAUCCACUUGCUUUAGGAGCUGCAGGUGGCAGAGAGAACCUUAUUUUGGACUUACGUUCCCUAUAGCUGUGUUCCUUCCUCAGUGCUUGGUUUAUUCGUAGGGAACCAGGAAGACACAGAAAACUGUAGCCACAAAAUCCUAGAACCACAGGCUCAGAACUGUAGACCACAGAAUUCCAGAGCCGUGUAUUGUAGCCUAUGGAAUCCCAGAAGUGUGGAACUCAGAAUCAAUAUCCACAGGACCCUGGAGCCUCAGGACUGUCAACCACAGAAUCCCGGGGUCACAGGCUCUGAUCUGUAGCAUGGAAUAUUAUAGACCCGACCCAGAAAUUCAGCCCACAGAAUCCCAGCAUCAGUGGACUCAAACCUGCAGCCCACAGAGUCUUAAAGAGACCACAGCAUGCAACACAUGAAAUCCUGGAACCAUGGGGUGCAGAAGUGAUGCCCACGGUUUUCUAGAACCACAGGAGAGGAACGAAGCCAUGGGUUCCCAGCAUAUCAGCACUAGGAAGGUGGCGGAGGAGCUCAUGUCAUUCAAAGACCCUCCUUUCAAAGGGGCGACUGAGGCCCUCUGAGCCUCCAGGCCACCCUGCCAGCGCCCCUCCGCAGCCUUCAGGAGUGACAGGAUGUCAGGGCCCAAAGAGGCUGGUGGGGGUGGGGGGAUGCCCGGAGGGGGAUACCCGGGCGGGGGAAACCCUUUGGACACCCGGGACCCUCGGCGCGCAGGCGCACUCACCA